CUUCUCCCGUCCUCCCGCAUCCCAGCCCCCGCCUCGUCGCCGCCGCCAACACCGGGUGAGUCCGGCGAGUUCCGGCAGCCCUCGCCGGAGCGCAGCACACCCACGAGCUCCCCUUGUGGUGGUGCUUCCUUCCCUCCGUCCAGAUCCGCUCCUCACGGCCGCAAACGCUCGCUCGCGCCACCCCUCCCCGCGGCUAGGGUUUCGGCUGCCUCCAACUCCGGCGCGACACCCUCCUCCAUGGACGAGGACAACCACCACGGCCCACACAUGGUCGAGCUUGCCAUCGUCUGCUCCGGUGCGGUGCUGGGCCAACGAUCUCCACCUCCACGGCUGCUAGCUCGGCUUCUCUUCUCCAUGGACGAACCUCACAGGCAACAGCAAGCCAUCUCAAGGGAGGGGAUUCUCAAGUCACCCCACGUCCAAUCCAUGGACGACGUCCACAGGUGCUCAAUAAAUUGUUGGGGUGAGCUAAUGAGUGUUUUUUGCUUGUGGCUUGGUCUAUGAUUAAGACUGGGAGGGCAAUACGUGGCCUACAUGAGCUUGUUGGCUUGGGCGUCUGGGCCUGCUAUGGCAUGGACGAUGUCCGUGUCAAGAUGAGUGACUGGGUCUGCGAUAGAUGAUUAUAUUCUUAAAAUUUUAACUUCCAACUGGAGUCAGUUUAUUAUUUAAUCUGAAAGUUUGAUUCUUCUUCUGAGCUAGAUACUCAAAUUGUGCAACCAUCCAUUUACGUGUAUACAUAGUUUUGAAAUCUUACUCUGUACAGUUGAAGUAGAUAAUAGGACAGGGUGCCAUGACGUACAGCAGCUCCUUCCAGAACCAAGUGUGGGAUUUUUUCGAUGAGGAUGAUCGCUCGAUUCGAUCUUCAUCAGCUGUAUAAUUAUCCUCUACGCCAUCUUUGUCAGAAGCAGGUUGGGGAUGAUCGCUCGACUCGAUCUUCGACCCAAGUAGGCCCAUGGGAGUAAGCUCAAGCCGCAGCCGAGUUCAGACUCUUCCUCUCACUUGGUGCUCCAUAGGAGGAGCAUGGUCUGCUGUGCCUCUCCCACCUCCUCAGCGCUCAGUAAGAUGGCCAGUGCCGCUUAGUACCAGGGUGUUGAUCACACAAUACAGGGUUACCAUUUUAAUUUGGUCUGGAAAUGGAGCUGAACCUAUCAAAAGGCUUCGUGUAUUGUUGUUUCAGAGAUUUCAAGGUACAAAGAUGAAAUGCUUGAUGAUGCGCCUUGUAUAAUAUUCGAGGCUGUUUUCCAAUGUACCCUUGAGGUGCAGUCUCACGCAAAUGACGGCCGUCCUGUCGCAGAACGGGUCCUGAAUUUGUUUAUAUAUUUUAGAUGUACGAGCAGCAGAAGAAAAUCUCCCAUCCGCUCAUUGUUGGUCGUUCAGACUCGGGUCGUCGAUGCAAAUUGAUCAAGUGCCCCCAUCUUUAGUUGUUCUGUUUGGUGGUACGUGGAUCUGCUGGUGCACUGAAUGGGGAGCUGAUGAACCCGGGGUCUCGACAGCUAUACCUCAUCUUCCCGGCGGACAACACCUUCCACGAAGAUGACAUCUCCAACUACUUCAGCAUCUACGGUCCUUUCCACGAUGUACGCAUCCCCUACCAGCAGAACCACAUGUUUGGGUUCGUCACCUUCGUCUACAAGGAGAAGGGCAAGGUCCCCGGCAAGUUCAGGCAAGCCCAGCUGAUGACACCUCCUCCCAAACUAGAUGGGUCAAGCAAACAAGCUGGGAAACAAUAUGUGUGGAAUGCUCGCAAAGAUCUAUUUGGAAAACGCAAGCACGACUGCGAAGAAUAAAGAGGUUCAGUUGAAUCACCAUGGGCGACGCAAUGGCCGUCUGCUAUAUCUCCCAAGAUGCCAUUAGUUGUGUCCUUUUUGUAAUCACAAUAUGUACCGAGCACUUGUUCUUCUAUGCGUAUGACUGUAUGGACUAUUAUGCUGGUUAUGCAAACUACAUGACACUUGUGCUUUCCACAAGUCUUGCUUGCUUUGAAGAAGAAAAAGGAACAAACCUUUGUAUGAUUCUAAUAAUUGUUGUUAGUCCUAUUUAGAUACAUGGUGGUAA